AUGGUCCUCCCCGCUGCAGUCCAUCACUCGUCUCGCACCCUGCAGCAGGACCGAGCUCGUCUCGCGCCCGGCAGCAGGACUGACCUUGUCUCGCGCCCGGCAGCAGGACCGAGCUCGUCUCGCGCCCGGCAGCAGGACCGAGCUCGUCUCACGUCCGGCAACAGGACCGAGCUCGUCUCGCGCCUGACAGUAGGAUCAUGCUUGUCUCGCGCCCGGCGGCAGGACCGAGCUCAUCUCGCGCCCCGUGCCAUAGAACGGGUCGAUGGAGGCCAAGUUUGGCCGGCCUAUUGGGACUCGGCACUGGGGGGCGCCCAUGGUUCUUUAGUUGGGCUAGCGGCGGAUCUCGGGUGA
rnacentral:rRNA from 1 species